rfam:Triticum aestivum genome assembly, contig: Triticum_aestivum_CS42_TGACv1_scaffold_502237_6BL
UUAGUACUCCCUCCGUCCGGAAAUACUUGUCCUCGAAAUGUUUGCAUUUAGACUUAUUUUAAUUAUAAAUACAUCCAUUUUAUCAAUUUCUAGGACAAGUAUUUCUGGACGGAGGGAGUACGCU